UUUUCUUCAAGGGUUUCGGAUGAAACCCUAGCGCCGCCACCGCGUCCAUUCUCUCUCCUGCGUCAUCCUCGCUAUAUUUGGCAAAGUAGCAGGUGUACAACACCUUUUUCAGGCCUUGCAUGGCCAGAUCGAGCAAGCAUUUAAUGCUUCGUCUCCAAAUUCACCAAACGCGAUUUUAGAAUCGGAUUUCUAUUGGCUCAUGAGGAACCAAGGAGAUGGACCCGUUCUGCUUCAAAUCUGACCCUCCAUGCGUUUACAUUCUUGAAUCUCGACCUUUGAUUGUGAUUUAGAAGGCAAUCCCUUGAAGAUUUGCAAAGUCCCACAUCGAGUUUGAGGUUGGGGUUUUUCAGAUCUGGGGUAUCUAUAUAAGAUGUUUUAUUUCGCAUUAUAAGAAGGGGAGAUUUUGGGAGGCAAUUUGAAAAAUUAUAUCAUCUUGCAUAUAAAAAUUGAAAUAGCUAGGGUUUUGGCAAGUUUGCUUGGAAACCUUCAUCUUUUCGAUUUAUUUUAAAAAAAUUAAA